rnacentral:lncRNA from 1 species
UGACUGUCAGGCCACCUUAAGCCACAGUACGGAAGAAGCUGUGCUGCCUGUGAGCCCCGUCCAAGGACGUUAAAAGAAGAAGUCAGGCCCCAAAGCCACGGUUUGAGCAAACCGUGCUGCCUGUAGCUCCGUCGUGGGGACGUAAAAACCUGGGAGGCUGCAAACUGUGGAAGCUGUACGCACAGUGUAGCAGACUAGUGGUUAGAGGAGACCCCUCCCAUGACACAACGCAGCAGCGGGGCCCGAGCACUGAGGGAAGCUGUACCUCCUUGCAAAGGAC